UACAGAGGGUGCGAGCGUUAAUCGGAAUUACUGGGCGUAAAGCGUGCGUAGGUGGUUCGUUAAGUCUGAUGUGAAAGCCCUGGGCUCAACCUGGGAAUGGCAUUGGAAACUGGCGACCUAGAGUGCGGUAGAGGGCAGUGGAAUUCCCGGUGUAGCAGUGAAAUGCGUAGAGAUCGGGAGGAACAUCUGUGGCGAAGGCGACUGCCUGGACCAGCACUGACACUGAGGCACGAAAGCGUGGGGAGCAAACAGG
rnacentral:rRNA from 1 species